rnacentral:misc_RNA from 1 species
GUGAAUCAUCGAAUUUUUGAACGCAAAUUGCACUCUCCUCGGAGAGUAUGCGUGUUUGAGGGUCAGCCUAUAAAAAAUCGAAAUCGUUGCUGUUUCGCGGCGGCGUUCGUCGGACACUGGGUCAUCCUAGAUCCUUUUUGUUUUUAAGCGCCUUAAAAUUUUCAUUUUGGUUCCAUGAGCGUUUCUAAGAUUUAUUUCAUUACUCGUUUAAGGUAUAGAUUUUUAUUAGACGUGACCGACAUA